rnacentral:sRNA from 1 species
UUACUCUGAAAGAAACAUGGCAACAGUACAAUAUUGCCGAUGUUUUGGUAGUGAUAAAAGAGGUGAUGGGUGAUAUAGAAUCAGCCACUCUUAAGCUUGAUGGAAACUGUGGGAGGAUGUGUGAAUGAUGCAUAUUUCUCUAGAGCUAAUGAAGAAGUUAAAAAAUCUAAGUGUCUGCAAAACAGGAAGAAGUCUUUGCAGAGGAAAUUGAAUACUGUCUGAUGCUACAAUUCAUAUGGACCCUUUCCUGGAUUGAAGCUUGACUUUUUUAAAAAAGGUUUCAAUAAAUUGCUUAUACCUAUGAAGAGAUGCAAAAGAACCUUCAAAAUAAAGCAAAGGACUUGAAGAAAGAGAAGGAAGACAUGAAGAAGAGGAUGUCAUUUAGGUGAAGGGCCAUGCUGGAUAAGGAACUGGCUGCCUCUGUGAACAUCCUACUCAAGGCAUCUUCACUGCACUCAGAGUACAGAAUGUUUAGGCAUACAUUUGAAGCAACAUGUGAAUGUAUACAUAUGCUGUGAUUUAUUAAGCAUGUUAUGGGAACUUUAAAAUAUCUCAUUCAGCAGAAAGGAGGCAGAGGAUUAUAAUCUCAUUUGACAGAUGGGACACUGAGGCCCAAGUCCUCAUGUUUCUUCAGUCUAGAAAGUGAAGAGAACUUGCACUGUGUGACAAAGGCCAGGCGAAAGAAACAGGAGAGGAGGAUAGAUUCCUGUAGACCUUGAUUGUCAGGGAAGAUCCCUUGGGAAAGGCUGUACAUCCUUUUGAAAUCCCAGAGGUCUUCAGUCUCCCUGUGGAUUAAGGAGAUGUGCAGUAUUUAAAGUAGCUUCAGGAAGGCAUGGAAGAGGACUGAGUGCGGAAAGCUUUUUGUGCAUGCUGCUGGCCACCUCCAGCGGCUGCCUCCAGCCUCCAUCAGCUGCACUCUGGGGAAGAGGAGGCUGCCUUCUACCUCUCAGCAUCUCUGGAUUUCAUGUUCCUGUCAGCACAGAGGAGCUAAAUGGCCUUUAGAGGCUGAAGGUCUGAGGCUCCUAAAGCUGG